rfam:Pteropus alecto contig63787, whole genome shotgun sequence.
GUCUACGGCCAUGCCACUCAGAACAAGCCCAAUGUCUGAUCUUGGAAGCUAAGCAGGGUUGGGCCUGGUUAGAACUUGGAUGGUAGACCACCUAGAAAGACCAGGUGCUGUAGGCA